GAUGCACUGCCAACAUUGAACUUGCCGCAGCGCAGAUUUGACAAGCAAAAGCUGCCUCGCAAGCCACCGGCAAAGAGAGCCCCUGUUUCAAGGCAAUCAAGGAUGCCAGGAAGCAUAGCCGACGAUGUUGCAGGUCAUGCCUCUGUUCAUGAAGAAAAUCCUGCUGAGGAGACUGCGUACGAAGGUAUGCUUCUGUGAGAUUACCAAAUUGGCUACUAUUUUUGCUAGCUAGCAUUCUGACUU
rnacentral:lncRNA from 1 species